rnacentral:lncRNA from 1 species
UACAAUAUCUGCAUCAGGUACUUCAAUACUUCUUUAAUUAGAGUUGCACAGCCCAAAACUAUACUUCUGUACUUUCAGAAGCAACUAGAACACUUCACCCCCAAUUGUGAUUCUUCCUAGCAUGCCAACAAUGAAGGUUGAUUUCUAAGUUUGUACAAUGUGGUCUGUCAUGGAUUGGGAAUUUUGUUUUGGUUCAGAAAACAGAUAUAAAAAAAGUACAGUACAAAAAAAACUGCUGAUGGGAUUAGGGAAAAUUCUACAACACAUUUUUAGUUCCGAGAAAAAGUGCAUACCAUCAUUUUGCAGGCUGCAACUUGCAUUUUGCAGGCUGCAUACCAUCAAUUUCAAUUCUAAAACAGAAAUCUGCAAUUUGUUUUCUUACACGCUGAGUCCCUAACUAUAGAAAGCAUAACCUGUAGGAAAAUCUUACCAAGGCCAGGAUGUUGAACCAUAAAUCACAUCAACAAGAAUGCAAGAUCUGCAGGCUGGAGAACUGUAGCAUACAAAAAUUGACGGGAAAGGACAAAG